UACGAAGGGGACUAGCGUUGUUCGGAAUCACUGGGCGUAAAGCGCACGUAGGCGGAUUUGUAAGUCAGGGGUGAAAUCCCGGGGCUCAACCUCGGAACUGCCUUUGAUACUGCGAAUCUUGAGUCCGAUAGAGGUGGGUGGAAUUCCGUAGUGUAGAGGUGAAAUUCGUAGAUAUUAGGAAGAACACCGGUGGCGAAGGCGGCCCACUGGAUCGGUACUGACGCUGAGGUGCGAAAGCGUGGGGAGC
rnacentral:rRNA from 1 species